ensembl:lncRNA
CUCCCUCCCUUACGAGGCAGCGGCAUCGUCCUCCCCCCUUCUCCGCCACCUCCUCCUCCGGCGCGCAGCCCGCGACUCUGGCAUCCCCAACGCACUUUCUCUCCUCGAUCCGCUCGCUCUCUUCCCCCCGCCGCUCCUCCUUCUCCAGUAAAAAAUAAAUGAGAAGGGACGGCGGGUAUGCCUGGUCUUUUUUUCUCUUUCUUUCUUUUUUUUUUUUCUCUCUCUGUCCUCUGGAGUUGGUGAGAGGAUCACAUGAGGAGCAGGCACAGAGAACCAGGACCCUCAGAAGUCGGAGGAGGCAUCGGACACAUAUAUCUGCCAAUGGUCACCAUCACCCAAGGUUUCUCUCAAGGAAAAGAGGAAGGAAAUUUACUUUCCAAGCUGCUGUCCAGCUGCUCAUUUAGCCCUGACAACCCACUGAAGACACUGAAGAACGCCCAGCUAAAGUGGUUAAACGCCUGGAAAUGCAAGUGGAGGAGAAGUUCCUCCCCUCCAUUUUCAUUACUUGCAGCAGAUGACGUCAGUCUUCUACGACCUGUGCUAUGCAGGUUGAGGCUUCGUGUCUUCCCCACAGAGAAGGUGGCACAGCACGGAAAGAGGAAGAUAUGGUGUGUGGCACUUCUACAAAUCAACCUGCUAUGUGUUCAGAGCCUGGUCCAAGCCUUGGGUGCCCAGGAAACUCUUGAUCCAUCCUUGUGGACUUGCCAAAUGAGUCACUCUCGCCUGGUACAGAUAAAUAGGGUCUCCCUGUCUUCAUCAUCUCAGAGUCUCAUGUUGCCAUGUCGCAUGCAUGUGGAACAACCAUGAAAGGAAGGACAAUUAGCCUAGGAAGUCCAUCUAUAUCUACAGGAGUUAAAAACAGUUCUGUGGACAAAGGUAUUGAUCAAAGCAUGACUGAAUGAAGAGGUAAGGG